UUACAUCUUUCUGUUGUAGAAUCAAAUCUC
rnacentral:piRNA from 1 species